rnacentral:rRNA from 1 species
UACGGGGGGAGCAAGCGUUGUUCGGAUUUACUGGGCUUAAAGGGCGCGUAGGCGGUCAGCACAAGUCAGUUGUGAAAUCUCCGGGCUUAACUCGGAAAGGUCAACUGAUACUGUGCGACUAGAGUGCGGAAGGGGCAACUGGAAUUCUCGGUGUAGCGGUGAAAUGCGUAGAUAUCGAGAGGAACACCUGCGGCGAAGGCGGGUUGCUGGGCCGACACUGACGCUGAUGCGCGAAAGCCAGGGGAGCGAACGGG